rnacentral:rRNA from 1 species
GGCGGACGGGUGAGUAAUGCCUAGGAAUCUGCCUGAUAGUGGGGGACAACGUUUCGAAAGGAACGCUAAUACCGCAUACGUCCUACGGGAGAAAGCAGGGGACCUUCGGGCCUUGCGCUAUCAGAUGAGCCUAGGUCGGAUUAGCUAGUUGGUGAGGUAACGGCUCACCAAGGCGACGAUCCGUAACUGGUCUGAGAGGAUGAUCAGUCACACUGGAACUGAGACACGGUCCAGACUCCUACGGGAGGCAGCAGUGGGGAAUAUUGGACAAUGGGCGAAAGCCUGAUCCAGCCAUGCCGCGUGUGUGAAGAAGGUCUUCGGAUUGUAAAGCACUUUAAGUUGGGAGGAAGGGCAUUAACCUAAUACGUUAGUGUUUUGACGUUACCGACAGAAUAAGCACCGGCUAACUUCGUGCCAGCAGCCGCGGUAAUACGAAGGGUGCAAGCGUUAAUCGGAAUUACUGGGCGUAAAGCGCGCGUAGGUGGUUUGUUAAGUUGAAUGUGAAAGCCCCGGGCUCAACCUGGGAACUGCAUCCAAAACUGGCAAGCUAGAGUAUGGCAGAGGGUGGUGGAAUUUCCUGUGUAGCGGUGAAAUGCGUAGAUAUAGGAAGGAACACCAGUGGCGAAGGCGACCACCUGGGCUAAUACUGACACUGAGGUGCGAAAGCGUGGGGAGCAAACAGGAUUAGAUACCCUGGUAGUCCACGCCGUAAACGAUGUC